rnacentral:rRNA from 1 species
GACGAACGCUGGCGGCGUGCUUAACACAUGCAAGUCGAACGGAAAGGCCCUGCUUUUGUGGGGUGCUCGAGUGGCGAACGGGUUAGUAACACGUGAGUAACCUGCCCUUGACUUUGGGAUAACUUCAGGAAACUGGGGCUAAUACCGGAUAGGAGCUCCUUCUGCAUGGUUGGGGUUGGAAAGUUUCGGCGGUUGGGGAUGGACUCGCGGCUUAUCAGCUUGUUGGUGGGGUAGUGGCUUACCAAGGCUUUGACGGGUAGCCGGCCUGAGAGGGUGACCGGCCACAUUGGGACUGAGAUACGGCCCAGACUCCUACGGGAGGCAGCAGUGGGGAAUAUUGCACAAUGGGCGGAAGCCUGAUGCAGCAACGCCGCGUGCGGGAUGACGGCCUUCGGGUUGUAAACCGCUUUCGCCUGUGACGAAGCGUGAGUGACGGUAAUGGGUAAAGAAGCACCGGCUAACUACGUG